rnacentral:lncRNA from 1 species
GAGGCUGUGGCUGGAAUGCUGGAUGCUUCAUUGUCGAGAGUCUUCAUUCAGACUCUAGGUGAGGGGCUCCUAUCCCUCCCAUGUCCCCUCAAUUCCCCUUUCUCCAGCCUCAAUGAGAAGCAAAAACCAGCAGGAAUAAUAAAGAGAGCCAGAUAUGGUUGGUUGCACAUGUAAUCCCAGCACUCAGGAGGCAAAGGUGUUGAGCAUCACAAGUUCAAGGCUAGUUUAGGAUACAUAGUGAGACUUUGUCUCAAAAAAAAAAAAAGUAACAGAGAUGCAGGGGCUAACUUUUAAAAUUUAUUUAUGUAUAUGGGUACUUUUGUGCACGUACUCUGUACACCAGAAGAUGACAGCAGACAGUGGCGAGCUGCUAUGUGGGUGCUGGGAAUUUGAACUCAGGCCCUCUGGAAGAUCAGAGUGCUUAACCACUGAGCCAUCUCUCCAGCCCCGGUGAUCUUCAUUGUCAACUUGAGUGCAUCUAGAAUCAACCAAAAUAAACCUGUAAGAGAUUUUCUAGGACAGAUUUUUUGGAAACAGAAAGACCCACUCUAAAUGAGUGGCACCUUCUGGUGGCAUCCCAGAUAAAAGGACAAGAAAGAAAGAAGCUUUGCUUUUUGCCUGCUUGCCCGUGUGGCAAGUCCAUCUAUCCUGCUGCUGUGGCAUUCCUUGGCUGAUAGGAGAACCACCUUCUUUGGGAAUCCAAUGUAGACUGAAGAAGACCAAGGAGCUCUCCAGGAAUCUCCCAGGCUUUCACCCAUGGAUUGGGACUGCUAAAGCAUCCAGGAUUUCCCAGAUUCUAGAGCGAGACAGUCAUUGUUGGGUUACCUAGACCAAUCCUUCCUGUAAACCAAUCAAACUCAUACACACACACACACACACACACACACACACACACACGUGUGUGUGUAUGUAUGUAUAUAUAUAUAUACAUACAUUCACUUAGUUCUGUUCCUUUAAAGGACCCUGACUAAUACAGAGCUAUAUUGAAGAGAUAUAUCCCUGCCUUGCCUUGACCAGUAAAGCACCCCUUACCUCCCUCCCCAGGUCUUUCUCUCUACUUAGCUUCCUGCCUCCCUCACUACCAUUGUCACCACCCCCAGCUAGCCAGUAGAUGUGGCUGUGGGUUACCAGCCCCUUCCUGCCCAUCUGUGUGUGCUGGUAGCCCAGGGGACAUCUCUAUGUCCUGACUUCUGGCUCACAACAGGAAGGAAGGCAAGAAGGCUGCCGUUAUGCUCUGGGAAAGGAUCCUGUGGUUUGGACACAGUGUCUGUUGAGCCACAGUCUGUUUUGGUGGACAGGCGUGGGGCCUUUGGGCUUUAUCAACACAGAUGUUUCUUAUGCUUCAGAGCUGAUGUUGAAGUCAUCUGAAAAAAACAACUGCUCCGGACUCUGACAGGCCUGAACUUGAAUUUGGCUCUGCUACUUGGGAGCUAUGCAUGUAGUUUCGCCUUUAGAGCAUAAAAUAAAAUAGGUAUUAGAG